rnacentral:rRNA from 1 species
GGGGGCGCGAGCCCCCCGCGGGAACUGUGGCGUAAGGAAGUCCGGCCCCGAGGCCGCGGCGGCGCCGAGGUCCUUCUGAUCGAGGCCCCCUCCGUCCCAGGGCGGGUGUCAGGCCCCUGCGGGCGCCGUCCGGCCGCGGACCAGGGCUUCCGGGAGUCGGGUUGUUUUGUAGCGCAGCCCAAAGGCGGGCGGGAAACUCCGCCCAAGGCUAAACACCUGCACGAGACCGAUAGAGCACAAGUACCAUGAGGGAAAG